rnacentral:misc_RNA from 1 species
GGGCUGGGGUUUUGGUAGAGGUGGUGACACGGAUUAUCAAAGGGCUGCUCUCCACAUAAAUCCAAAGGAAUUGCACAACUGUCUCACAGACCUAAUGAUUUGUGAUCUGGAGCAAUUCCUGUGCAUUCUGUGCGCACUUUUGACUGCCCCUGACUGAAAAAAUGAGAACUGGAUUUUGAGUUUCUUUAUUGUGGAUGGAAAUUUUUUUAUAUUUGUG